rnacentral:rRNA from 1 species
UACGUAGGGGGCAAGCGUUGUCCGGAAUCAUUGGGCGUAAAGAGCGCGUAGGCGGCCCUGUAAGUCCGCUGUGAAAGUCAAGGGCUCAACCCUUGAAUGCCGGUGGAUACUGCAGGGCUAGAGUCCGGAAGAGGAGUGUGGAAUUCCUGGUGUAGCGGUGAAAUGCGCAGAUAUCAGGAGGAACACCAAUGGCGAAGGCAGCACUCUGGGACGUGACUGACGCUGAGACGCGAAAGCGUGGGGAGCAAACAGG